GGCAAAUGGAAGCAUCUAUAUGGUGUUUUUUGUAGGAUUUUUAUUGCCUUGAGCCUGUAAUAUGAUGUACCACCAAGAGAGAUGGCUAACGGGGUAUGUGAUGACAGCUGUGUUGGGGAAUUUGGGUGUGUAGUUGAGAAAUAAUACUGCCAGUGAGCAGGAAGUUCCAGGUGAAGAGUUCUCUUCUCUUGUGUCUUCAAGUAAGUUUAAUUUCUGUUUUCAUACAGCUCCCGUUCUCUUGCAGGUUGCCUUGAUAUGGCCAGUUUUCUUCUGUUAUUUUCCUUGAGGAUAUAUAUACUCAGAUCCUCACCAAUGGCCAUAGUUGUGGAAGAGUAGGAAGCCUGUCUGGAGGCACUUUUGCAGCAAGCGCUUUGUAUCCAUGUAGCAGAAAGGACUCAAUGGUAUUGGGACUUUUUAAUCCAAAGAUUGCAUCUCCAAAGGAGACCUUUUCUGUCUCUAGGCAGCGGGUGAGG
rnacentral:lncRNA from 1 species